rnacentral:rRNA from 1 species
AGGACGAACGCUAGCGGCGUGCCUAAGGUAUGCAAGUCGAACGGACCCGCAAGGGUUAGUGGCGAACGGUUGAGUAACACGUAGACAACCUGCCUCGAAGUGGGGGACAACAGCGGGAAACUGCUGCUAAUACCGCAUAUGACCUUUCAACGCCUGUUGAGAUGGUUAAAGGCGCAAGUCGCUUCGAGAUGGGUCUGCGGCCUAUCAGUUUGUUGGUGGGGUAACGGCCUACCAAGACGACGACGGGUAGCUGGUCUGAGAGGAUGAUCAGCCAGACGGGGACUGAGACACGGCCCCGACUCCUUCGGGAGGCAGCAAUGAGGAAUAUUGCGCAAUGGGCGAAAGCCUGACGCAGCGACGCCGCGUGGGUGAGGAAGUUCUUCGGAAUGUAAAGCCCUUUUGUCGGGGACGAUCACAGACGGUACCCGACGAAUAAGCCCCGGCUAACUACGUGCCAGCAGCCGAC